rnacentral:rRNA from 2 species
CAAGUCGAACGAUGAAGUUCCUUCGGGAAUGGAUUAGUGGCGAACGGGUGAGGAACACGUGAGAGACCUGCCUUUCAUUCUGGGAUAACACCGGGAAACCGGUGCUAAUACCGGAUACUCCAUCUUGGCGGCAUCGCCGAGCUGGGAAAAAUUUUGAUGAAAGAUGGUCUCGCGGCCUAUCAGCUAGUUGGUGAGGUAAAGGCUCACCAAGGCGACGACGGGUAGCCGGCCUGAGAGGGCGACCGGCCACACUGGGACUGAGACACGGCCCAGACUCC